GGGAAGCACAUCUUCCCUCAGUCAAAUCUUAACAUGACUGCAGACUUGUGAGUAACCACGGGCCGGAGGACCCAGAUAAGCUGAACCAGGGUGCCUGACCCACGGAAACUGUGAGGCGGCCUCCUCAAAGGACGACAAGCUUCCACGAUAUUAAUCCAAAGUUGAUUGAGGGCCCACCAUGUAUUAGGCAUUGCCAUAGAAUUCCUGAAGAUCUGAACACAGUGACCACUUGGCAGAAACUUCUAGGUGCAGAAACGUCGGAAGAGAAUUUCCCAAUUGUGUCCUGAGUGGUACUGUUGCUGCAAGAUCUCCUUGCCCAACACACAGCCCAUAAUGAUGCAUCCAAGGCUAGAAGACAUUUUGUAAGACAGAAAUCUUUGCAACUUUAUGCACUUUUCAAGCUUAUCUGAGCAAAAAAAUCUCCCCCCCCCGCAUGUAAUCAUUAAUUUGUAACUUAAAUAUGUAAAAAAAAUCACUAUUAAUUUCAGCAAAAAUCUCUAUAGUUAUUUAUUAAUAAACCACAUAAAGAAAUUGUGUAUUGCUUUGCUUAAUAAAUUGAGAAGAAACUUGAGCUCACUCUGGC
rnacentral:lncRNA from 1 species